rnacentral:rRNA from 1 species
AGAGCGUAUGGCGGAUGCCUAGGCUCUCAGAGGCGAUGAAGGACGUGACAAGCUGCGAUAAGCUUCGGGGAGGUGCACAUAACCUGUGAUCCGAUGAUUUCCGAAUGGGGCAACCCAAUAGUGUGAAGCACUAUUAUCCCACUUGUGGGAGGCGAACCUGGAGAACUGAAACAUCUAAGUAUCCGGAGGAAAAGAGAACAAUAGUUAUUCCCUGAGUAGAGGCGAUCGAAACGGGACCAGCCCAAACCCUAAUUGUUUAGGCAAUUAGCGGGGUUGUAGGACUUGCGUAAUCGAGCAUUAUUAAGUGGAACAAUUCUGGAAAGUUUGACGAUACAAGGUGAUAGUCCUGUACACGUAAACAUAAUGUAAGAGGCGAGUAUCCUGAGUACCACGGAACCCGUGAAAUUCUGUGGGAAUCUGCCGGGACCAUCCGGUAAGGCUAAAUACUUCUGAGAGACCGAUAGUGAACUAGUACCGUGAGGGAAAGGUGAAAAGAACUUCGAAUAGAAGAGUGAAAUAGUCCCUGAAACCGUACGCUUACAAGCUGUAGGAGCUCCAAUUUAUUGGAGUGACUGCGUGCCUUUUGCAUAAUGAGCCUACGAGUUGCUCCUCUUUGGCAAGGUUAAGGUAUUAAGUACUGCAACCGAAGCGAAAGCGAGUCUUAACAGGGCGUGUUAGUCAGAGGGGGCAGACGCGAAACUUGGUGAUCUACCCAUGGUCAGGUUGAAACCUCGGUAAAACGAGGUGGAGGACCGAACCGGUACACGUUGAAAAGUGUUCGGAUGAACUGUGGGUAGGGGUGAAAGGCUAAUCAAACCAAGAGAUAUCUCGUACUCCCCGAAAUGCAUUUAGGUGCAGCCUCGUGGUUGAGUCUUGCGGAGGUAGAGCUACUGAUAAGGCUAGAGGGCUUCACCGCCUAUCAAACCUUGAUAAACUCCGAAUGCCGUAAGAUAUACACGGGAGUGAGGGCAUGGGUGCUAAGGUCCGUGUCCGAAAGGGAAACAACCCGGACCAUCAGCUAAGGUCCCUAAAUAUAUGCUAAGUUGUUCUAACGUGGUGUGACUGCUUUGACAGCUAGGAUGUUGGCUUGGAAGCAGCCAUUCAUUUAACGAGUGCGUAACAGCUCACUAGUCGAGCGGUCGUGCGCGGAUGAUAAUCGGGCAUUAAGCAUAUUACCGAAGCUAUGGAUUGUUAGUUUACUAACAGUGGUAGGGGUGCAUUCCAGUGGCGUUGAAGCUGAAUCGUAAGGUUUGGUGGAGUAGCUGGAAAAGAAAAUGUAGGCAUAAGUAACGAUAAUGUAUGUGAGAAACAUACACGCCGAUAGACUAAGGUUUCCUGAUCAACGCUAAUCGGAUCGGGGUUAGUCGGGACCUAAGGCAAACCCGAAAGGGGUAGUCGAUGGAUAACAGGUUAAUAUUCCUGUACCGGCAUUUAUUGUGAUGGGGUGACGAAGUUGUGAAAAGUCUGCGUACUGACAGAAUAGUACGUUGAAGGGUGUAGAUAUACGCUGAGUAGGUAAAUCCGCUCGGAGUGUCGAACCUGAUAGUAGGGCGAGUCUUCGGAUAAGUUCAUAAUGGCUGUAAUCAUACUUCCUAGAAAAACCUCUAAACUUCAGAUAAUUGCUGCCCGUACCACAAACCGACACAGGUAGUCUGGUAGAGAAUACUGAGGCGAUCGAGUGAUUCAUGGGUAAGGAACUAGGCAAAAUAGCUCUGUAACUUCGGGAGAAAGAGCGCACCGUACUUUGUACGGAGCCGCAGUGAAAUGGCCCGGGCGACUGUUUAUCAAAAACACAUGGCUUUGCUAAAUCGAGAGAUGAUGUAUAAGGCCUGACGCCUGCCCAAUGCCGUAAAGUUAAGGGGAAGUGUUAUCAGUUUUCUGAGAAGCUCUGAACUGAAGCUCCGGUGAAUGGCGGCCGUAACUAUAACGGUCCUAAGGUAGCGAAAUUCCUUGUCGGGUAAGUUCCGACCUGCACGAAUGGUGUAACGAUCCGGGCGCUGUCUCGCCCAUGAGCUCGGUGAAAUUGUAGUAACGGUGAAGAUGCCGUUUACCCGCAACGGGACAGAAAGACCCCGUGAACCUUUACUAUAGCUUAUCAUUGGCUUUGGGUAUGUCUUGUGUAGGAUAGGUCAAAGGCUUUGACCCUGCUUCGCCAGGAGUAGGUUAGCCGCCCUUGAAAUAUGACCCCUGACAUAUCUGUAGUCUAAUCUGCAUGCGGAGACAUUGAUAGGUGGGUAGUUUGACUGGGGUGGUCUCCUCCCAAAAAGUAACGGAGGAUUCUAAAGGUGCCCUCAUGACGAUUGGUAACCGUCAGUAGAGCAUAAUGGUAUAAGGGCGCUUGACUGUGAGACAUACAAGUCGAACAGGUACGAAAGUAGAGCAUAGUGAUCCGGCGAUUCCGUAUGGAAGGGUCGUCGCUCAAAGGAUAAAAGGUACUCCGGGGAUAACAGGCUUAUCACUCCCAAGAGCUCAAAUCGACGGAGUGGUUUGGCACCUCGAUGUCGGCUCGUCACAUCCUGGGGCUGGAGAAGGUCCCAAGGGUUGGGCUGUUCGCCCAUUAAAGUGGCACGCG